CUUGAUGUUCUGUGAACUUCCUCUUCCUCAUUCCUUCCCUGGCGCUGGCUUCCAGAACCUUCUUGGCUGAGCACUGACCUACUGUCCCUUUCACCAGCUUCCUGAGAAGCUCAUUUGCUUUGGCAUGGCAUCUCAGAGUGUUUAUGACAGCACAUCUGGACAGAGGUUUGAGUGGAGAAAUAGCUAUGUGAGUCACAGUGGCUAUUAAAGAGCAUCCAGGAGAAGAUGGAAUGGCUGUGGCCCAAGCCCUCAACGGUCCUGCAACACUGAUAAAGAACAUCAUAGCAGAAUACACUGAGGAUUGCUGACCAUCAUGAAGAGGACAGGCCAUCCAGAGGGUGAGUACAUG
rnacentral:lncRNA from 1 species